rnacentral:lncRNA from 1 species
UGCCGUCGGGUUCUGGACCAUCGAGUUCUAGACUGUGUAGGCAAGUUAUGGACCAUGUCAGUAGGUUUUGGGCUGUUAGGUUUUGGAUCGGACUGGCGGGUUCUAGAUCGAGUCGGUGGGUUCUGGGCCAUGUUGGCGGGUUUUGGGCUGGACCGAUAGGUUUCGGGUCGUCGGGUUCUGGGUCGGACCGGGGGAUUCUGGGUCA